UAUAAACAAUAAAUACACCAAGGAUAAAAAAUAAGAAAUCAGCGUUACUUAAAAGUAUUUAAUUGUAGUGUACCCAUAUGGAAUCGGACGUUUGUGCAUCAUUAAUUUUACCAUAACCGCGGAGUUUAUACUUAAAGUCGUAUAAUAAAGUGAGUAUGGUAAGUGACGACGCAUUGAACAGCAAAGUGUCUCUAUUCUAUAAGCUGAACAUUCAAUUCAAUUUAUACGGCUACGUACUAUAUUCCUUCACGAGAUAACGCUUCUAAUUAACGUAAUUAUAAAGCAAGUAAGGUUCUAUUGUUUUCAAGCAACUCUAAAAUUUAGACAAUUUGGAUGCAAAAUUGUCGUUCUUUUCCUGACAUAAUCCAAUUCAUCUUUACAACACUCCCUUCGUGCUUGGGACUUCAGAACUUCCAGUAAGACUAGUAGCCGCGCGCAUGGCAACAGCCAGAGAUUUAAAAGCGCUUUCAGCACGAUGAUGGUCAUUACUACCAUAUAAGCAGGUAACAUGCAAAGUAAUUCCAGCUGCUACCGAAAAGGAAUAUAGUAAGUGAGGGAUCAUUUCACAGGACAAUUCCCCAACCUUUUCACGCUUUAAUCCCAAAUCGAUAACAGCAUAGGGCCGUCCCGACAAGUCAACUACGCUUCUAGAAAGAGCUUCGUCAAGUGGACAAUAAGCAUGUCCAAAUCUUUUAACGCCGGCAAAGUUACCCAUAGCCUGCUUGAAUGCAAUACCAAGUGCAAUAGCAGUAUCUUCUGCAGUGUGAUGAUCAUCGAUGAUUAAAUCACCUCUUGAGUAAAGUCGUAAGCUCCAGCCUGCAUGUUUAGCCAGUGCAUGAUACAUGUGAUCCAAGAAUCCAAUUCCCGUGUCUACUUGGAUUACUUGUUCUCCCUUUUGGUUUGCAUGCUUGGAAGUUAUAAGUUCAUCAAUAAAAUUCGACUCUUCAGGUAAGGGAGCUUUGUCCAAAGCGAUGGCAACGCUGAUUUUCGUUUCGUUCGUAUUUCUUUCUACAAAAGCCCUCCUCAUCGUGAUGCAAAACUACUCUUUUCAAUUAGAUCAACCGAGAAUUACAGGAAUUUAUGGAAAACUUCCUUAUUAAAAAAUGACAAAUAGUUCGGUGUCGUGAAAUUGCAAGCCUUUUCACCCAAAAGAUUUUUGCUAGAUAUUAGACUACCGCUAUAUCCAGCAAGCCAAUUACAGGUACGGUAAUUAUUCGAUAAAGCAAGUCAACACCCCAUACACAAGAUAUCCUUAAACGAGGUGAACGAUGUUUGUUAAAAAUUCGCUGAAAUUGGUUAUUCAUAUUCAACGAUAUAAAUGAGUUCAAUGUCUUAUUGUAAAUAGCGUAUUUAAUUAACAUGAUAUUAACUUUUCC